GGACAUUCUGCACUUCCUGAACUUGGAUGUCUGUUUCCUAUCCCAGGGAAACAUCCGGACCCUGUUCCACCUGCGGAUGGCUGCAAGGAACGAGAAAUUAACACAUCAAGAAAUUAACACAUCACCUCCCCCAGGCUGGCCAUUCCAGAGGACAAAGUAUGGACCAUCGUGUCUUACGAUUUGCAGACACAGACGGUGGUGGUGUGCUACAACCCAGAAAGAUACUCAGCUCAUUUUCAGCACCUCCAUGUGGGCAGGAUGUCACCUGUUUCUGCAAGAUGUCGAGGUUGUGGAACCCCCCAGGUAGGCUGAGCACGGCAGGGUUACUGUUCAUUGCUAUCUCAGCUGGUGGUUGGAAUGAUGGAAACAAUCCAGCAGGUGUGACUUAUUCUCUUAAUAGGCCAGUCUUCAAAGUGCUGGUAGCUGUGAAAGUGAAGUACAACCCCUUGGUCUGUUUUCUGGGGAAGGAAGCUAAGAACUUACCAUUGGAAAAAAAAUUUCCAUUGUUUUUAUAGAUUUUUUUCAAUUUUCUAUGCAUAUAUGUGUGUGUGUGUGCUUCUAGUGUUUAAUUAUCAGUAGUAGCUUUGGGCAAAAGUUUAUCAGAGCUCCUUGUGAGCUUUCAAGUAGUUCCCUUUGAGUUCUUCAGUUGUCUUCAAUGUAAAGAUGAAAGAAUUCCAAAGUCUGUCCGCUGGUAAAUAGCAUAUAGAAUAGCGACGGAAUUGAGAGCUCUUUGUUGUCUGUAGUCAUUUAACAGUAUCUGUUGGUCAAGAAGUCCUCCCCCAAUUUUUUUUUCAUGAUGGCUUACUUUUAGCAGUGCUUCAGGAUGUGUGUUUGUGUGUGUGUAUGCUACGAAUGUAGAAAAUAGAGAGUUUACAAAGGGUAUCCUGGAAUUAUCUUUAAUACAAGACCUAUACCUCUGGGGUUCUUGGCAGUAAAUUCAAUGCGAUGACAGAAAACUAAAUCUCUCUGUCUCUAGUAUAACACAGUGGAAAUAAUGCAUAUGCUCUGAGUCAGAGAAACAUAGGUUCACAUUUUUCAGCCUUGCUGCUCCUUGGGUAUGUGACUUUGGGGGAGUUGCUUGAACUCUCUGCCUCAGUUUCCAGUGUCUUUUUCAGUCAGAUAAGGAUCAUAAUGCCUAUUUCAGGGUGAUUGUGAGAAUUGAAUGAGGUACUGUACUAAGUGCUUAUUAUAGGGCUUGAUGCACUUAAGGACUUAAUAAAUAGCAAAUAAUAUAUUGAUUACUUUUUAAUAGUAAGCAACUUCGGAAGUAGCAUUAUGUCAGAGACCAAUGGGCUGUUUGAUGCCCCAAAUCAGUGUUGUAUUGGAGCCAGUGUUGUAGGGAGUCGCUUACAGAGAAGAGUUAUAAGCGGGACAGUCUAUAAUAUUUUGAAGAUUUAAGUACUUUUUUUUUGCGGUACGCGGGCCUCUCACUGUUGUGGUCUCUCCCGUUGCGGAGCACAGGCUCUGGACGCGCAGGCUC